UGGGGAAUCUUCCGCAAUGGACGAAAGUCUGACGGAGCAACGCCGCGUGAGUGAUGACGGUCUUCGGAUUGUAAAGCUCUGUUAAUCGGGACGAAAGAGCUCUGUGUGAAUAAUGCAGAGAAGUGACGGUACCGGAAUAGAAAGCCACGGCUAACUACGUGCCAGCAGCCGCGGUAAUACGUAGGUGGCAAGCGUUGUCCGGAAUUAUUGGGCGUAAAGCGCGCGCAGGCGGGUUUUUAAGUCUGUCUUAAAAGUUCGGGGCUUAACCCCGUGAGGGGAUGGAAACUGGAAACCUAGAGUAUCGGAGAGGAAAGCGGAAUUCCUAGUGUAGCGGUGAAAUGCGUAGAUAUUAGGAAGAACACCAGUGGCGAAGGCGGCUUUCUGGACGAAAACUGACGCUGAGGCGCGAAAGCCAGGGGAGCAAACGGG
rnacentral:rRNA from 1 species